CGGGGCGUAGCGCAGCUUGGUAGCGUAUCUGAAUGGGGUUCAGAGGGUCGGAGGUNNUUCAAAUCCUCUCGCCCCGACCA
rnacentral:tRNA from 1 species